rnacentral:rRNA from 1 species
GAUGAACGCUGGCGGCGUGCCUAAUACAUGCAAGUCGAGCGAACGGACGAGAAGCUUGCUUCACUGAUGUUAGCGGCGGACGGGUGAGUAACACGUGGAUAACCUACCUAUAAGACUGGGAUAACUUCGGGAAACCGGAGCUAAUACCGGAUGAUAUUUUGAACCUCAUGGUUCAAAAGUGAAAGACGGUCUUGCUGUCACUUAUAGAUGGAUCCGCGCUGCAUUAGCUAGUUGGUAAGGUAACGGCUUACCAAGGCAACGAUGCAUAGCCGACCUGAGAGGGUGAUCGAACACACUGGAACUGAGACACGGUCCAGACUCCUAAGGGAGGCAGCAGUAGGGAAUCUUCCGCAAUGGGCGAAAGCCUGCCGGAGCAACGCCGCGCAAGUGAUGAAGGUCUUCGGAUCGUAAAACUCUGUUAUUAGGGAAGAACAUAUGUGUAAGUAACUGUGCACAUCUUGACGGUACCUAAUCAGAAAGCCACGGCUAACUACGUG